GGUCAAGCUACAAAGGGCGCAUGGUGAAUGCCUUGGCAUCAGGAGCCGAUGAAGGACGUGAUAAGCUGCGAUAAGCUUCGGGUAGGCGCACAUAGCCUGAGAUCCGAAGAUCUCCGAAUGAGGAAACUCACAUGGGAAACCCCAUGUAUCAUUAAGUGAAUACAUAGCUUAAUGAAGGUAACCCAGGGAACUGAAACAUCUAAGUACCUGGAGGAAGAGAAAGAAAAAUCGAUUUUCUUAGUAGCGGCGAGCGAAAGGGAAAGAGCCCAAACCGGAAACUUGUUUCCGGGGUUGUGGACAUAGCAUAAAAGUGGAGGCUAUUGUAACUGAAGAGAACUGGAAAGUUCCACCGUAGAAGGUAAUAGUCCUGUAAGUGAAACGAGAAGACCACGAGUUAUGAUCCAGAGUACCACGAGACACGUGAAACCUUGUGG
rnacentral:rRNA from 1 species